rnacentral:tRNA from 1 species
GGCCUCUUAGUUAAAUGGAUAUAGCGGCCCCCUCCUAAGGGGCAGUUGCAGGUUCGAUUCCUGCAGGGGCUACCA